UACGGAGGAUGCGAGCGUUAUCCGGAUUUAUUGGGUUUAAAGGGUGCGCAGGCUGUUUGAUAAGUCAGUGGUGAAAGUCUGUCGCUUAACGGUAGGAUUGCCAUUGAUACUGUUGGACUUGAAUAUGGAUGAGGUAGGCGGAAUGUGUAGUGUAGCGGUGAAAUGCAUAGAUAUUACACAGAACACCGAUUGCGAAGGCAGCUUACUAAUCCAUCAUUGACGCUGAGGCACGAAAGCGUGGGGAUCAAA
rnacentral:rRNA from 1 species